GAUGAACGCUGGCGGCAUGCCUAAUACAUGCAAGUCGAACGAGAGGAAGGAAAGCUUGCUUUUCUGAAUCUAGUGGCGAACGGGUGGGUAACACGUAGGUAACCUGCCCAUGUGCCCGGGAUAACUUCUGGAAACGGAUGCUAAAACCGGAUAGGUAGCAGACAAGCAUUUGACUGCUAUUAAAGUGGCUAAGGCCAUGAACAUGGAUGGACCUGCGGUGCAUUAGCUAGUUGGUGAGGUAACGGCCCACCAAGGCGACGAUGCAUAGCCGGCCUGAGAGGGCGGACGGCCACAUUGGGACUGAGACACGGCCCAAACUCCUACGGGAGGCAGCAGUAGGGAAUUUUCGUCACUGGGGGGAACCCUGAACGAGCAAUGCCGCGUGAGUGAGGAAGGUCUUCGGAUCGUGAAGCUCUGUUGUAAGAGAAAAACGACAUUCAUAGGGAAUGAUGAGUGAGUGAUGGUAUCUUACCAGAAAGUCACGGCUAACUACGUGCCAGCCGCCGCGGUAA
rnacentral:rRNA from 1 species